GACGAACCGUGCGAACGUUGUUCGGAAUCACUGGGCUUAAAGGGCGCGUAGGCGGCUUGCCAAGUCAGGGGUGAAAUCUUUCGGCUUAACCGGAAAGUGCCUUUGAUACUGGCAGGCUAGAGGGAGGUAGGGGCAUGCGGAACUUCCGGUGGAGCGGUGAAAUGCGUUGAUAUCGGAAGGAACGCCGGUGGCGAAAGCGGCGUGCUGGACCUCUUCUGACGCUGAGGCGCGAAAGCUAGGGGAGCAAACGGGG
rnacentral:rRNA from 1 species